GUGUCAGCAGCCGCGGUAAGACAGAGGGUGCAAACGUUGUUCGGAAUUACUGGGCGUAAAGCGCGUGUAGGCUGCUUGGAAAGUCGGGUGUGAAAGCCCAGGGCUCAACCCUGGAAGUGCACUCGAAACUUCCGAGCUCGAGUUCUGGAGAGGAUAGCGGAAUUCUCGGUGUAGAGGUGAAAUUCGUAGAUAUCGAGAGGAACACCGGUGGCGAAGGCGGCUAUCUGGACAGAAACUGACGCUGAGACGCGAAAGCGUGGGGAGCAAACAGGAUUAGAAACCCUUGUAGUCC
rnacentral:rRNA from 1 species